rnacentral:rRNA from 1 species
CAUCGAUGAAGAACGCAGCGAAUUGCGAUAUGUAAUGUGAAUUACAGAUAUUCAGUGAAUCAUCGAAUCUUUGAACGCACCUUGCGCUCCUUGGUAUUCCAAGGAGCAUGCCUGUUUGAGUGUCAUUAAAUUCUCAACCCCAUCAAUUUGUUUUGAUUGUGGGCUUGGAUUGUGGGGGCUUGCUGGUGGACUCUUGUUCAUCGGCUCCUCUGAAAUGUAUUAGCAAAGGUUGAUGUGCGAACCAGUGUCUCGGUGUGAUAAUGAUCAUCGUGUCUGACGUGCAGUGUUCCUGUGCUUACAGUCGUUGUCGCAAGACAACAUUUUUGAACCUUUGACCUCAAAUCAGGUAGGAUUACCCGCUGAACUUAAGCAUAUCAAUAAGCGGAGGAAAAGAAACUAACAAGGAUUCCCCUAGUAACUGCGAGUGAAGCGGGAAGAGCUCAAAUUUUAAAUCUGGCGGUCCUCGUGGUCGUCCGAGUUGUAAUCUAGAGAAGCGUCUUCCGCGC